rnacentral:rRNA from 1 species
UACAGAGGUGGCAAGCGUUGUUCGGAAUUACUGGGCGUAAAGGCGCGUAGGCGGCCUUCUAAGUCAGACGUGAAUCCCCGGCUUAACCUGGAACUGCGUCUGAUACUGGGAGCUUGAGUAUGGAGAGGAUGUAGAAUUCCAGGUGUAGCGGUGAAAUGCGUAGAUAUCUGGAGGAAUACCGGUGGCGAAGGCGGCAUCCUGGACCUAACUGACGCUGAGGCGCGCAAAGCUAGGGGAGCAAACGGG